rnacentral:rRNA from 1 species
GAUGAACGCUGGCGGCGUGCCUAAUACAUGCAAGUCGAGCGAACAGACGAGGAGCUUGCUCCUCUGACGUUAGCGGCGGACGGGUGAGUAACACGUGGAUAACCUACCUAUAAGACUGGGAUAACUUCGGGAAACCGGAGCUAAUACCGGAUAAUAUAUUGAACCGCAUGGUUCAAUAGUUAAAGACGGUUUUGCUGUCACUUAUAGAUGGAUCCGCGCCGCAUUAGCUAGUUGGUAAGGUAACGGCUUACCAAGGCGACGAUGCGUAGCCGACCUGAGAGGGUGAUCGGCCACACUGGAACUGAGACACGGUCCAGACUCCUACGGGAGGCAGCAGUAGGGAAUCUUCCGCAAAGGGCGAAAGCCUGACGGAGCAACGCCGCGUGAGUGAUGAAGGUCUUCGGAUCGUAAAACUCUGUUAUUAGGGAAGAACAAAUGUGUAAGUAACUAUGCACGUCUUGACGGUACCUAAUCAGAAAGCCACGGCUAACUACGUG